AUUGAACGCUGGCGGCAUGCCUUACACAUGCAAGUCGAACGGCAGCACGGGAGCAAUCCUGGUGGCGAGUGGCGAACGGGUGAGUAAUAUAUCGGAACGUGCCCAGUAGUGGGGGAUAACUGCUCGAAAGAGCAGCUAAUACCGCAUACGACCUGAGGGUGAAAGGGGGGGAUCGCAAGACCUCUCGCUAUUGGAGCGGCCGAUAUCAGAUUAGCUAGUUGGUGGGGUAAAGGCCUACCAAGGCAACGAUCUGUAGUUGGUCUGAGAGGACGACCAGCAACACUGGGACUGAGAAACGGCCCAGACUCCGACGGGAGACAGCAGUGGGGAAUUUUGGACAAUGGGCGCAAGCCUGAUCCAGCAAUGCCGCGUGCAGGAAGAAGGCCUUCGGGUUGUAAACUGCUUUUGUCAGGGAAGAAAUCCUCUAGGUUAAUACCCUUGGGGGGAUGACGGUACCUGAAGAAUAAGCACCGGCUAACUACGUGCCAGCCGCCGCCGUAACAC
rnacentral:rRNA from 1 species